CCAGGGACGAAAGGUCAUGCGUUUCAUGCUUGCAUGAAAGCGCAUGAGGUUGAGUCCCGCAAAACAUGAGAAAGCAGCCCGAUCAGGGCGGAUUUCGAAUGUUUUAGGAUUGCGGGAGCGCGCAGCGCGGAGCAAUCCGU
rnacentral:sRNA from 1 species